GCCUGGGUGGCUCAGUCGGUUGAGCGUCCGACUUCGGCUCAGGUCUCGCGGUUCGUGAGUUCAAGCCCCGCGUCAGGCU
rnacentral:tRNA from 1 species